UAGUCCACUACCGUAAACCCAGUAUCCUCUCGUCUCUAAAAUACACUGUAAUUCCUUCUACAUAAAGGACUAGGCCCAAUUUUAAUUCUCUUACACACCAACACCUUCAGAUUAGUCGUAUCCUCCACAACAAAAAAGAGAACCCUAGAGCAAAGAAAAAGAAAAAAGAAGAAAAAAAAAGAGUUGUGCCGCAACAUUUGAAAGAAAAAAUCGCAGCAGCAGCUGCUGCCUUCUUCUUCCUUCAUAAACAACCUCCCUUAGCUCGAAAACCUCAACAAACCACCCAAACCCAGCUGAAACAACAUCAAAAUCCCUCCCUUUCACCCCCAAAAUCCAGCCCGAAAAAUAGCCCCCAAUACCAUCGAAAACCAACUCAAAUCAGCUGUAAAACCAACUGAAAAUCAGCUGCGAAACCGGCUGAAAAAUUAUCUCAAAACCAGACCAAAAUGUAGCAAAAAGCCAUCUCAAAACAACCCCAAAACAUCACCUCCUAAAACUCCAUUGAAACCAACCAAGAAUUAGCUCUAAAACCCAGCAAAAAUAGCUCUGUUUCCCAGUGAAAAUCAGCUGCAAAAUUGUCCUAAAAAUCAGCCUUCCACCUCCAAACACCACCGCUAAAGUUGUUGGAUCGGAUUGAGGUUAUUUGGGUCAAGUUGAGGUCCAUGUUGUGGCUCUCGGGUCGAGGUUUUGUUCGCAAUUCUGGUGUUAUCGCCGAAUUCCGUUUCUGCUAGCUGAACAACUAUUUUUGUUGAAUAAGAUCUUGCUCAAUUAAAGGUUCAACGAGAAAAAGGAUACUAUAUCUCCACCAUCAGAAGUGACCAUGGAGGAAAAUUUGAAAGCAGAACUUUUGAAAAUUUUGCAAUGAUCAAGGAAUCUCUCAUAACUUCUCAUCGCCAAGAUCCCCUCAACAAAAUGGAGUAAUAGAACGUAAAAACAGAACCUUGCAGGAUAUGGCAAGAAGUAUGAUCGUGGAAAACUCUCUACCUCAUAAUUUCAAGGCAGAAGCUGUAAGUACAACAUGUUAUAUCAUUAACAGAUGUCUUAUUCGGCCAAUUCUUAAAAAGACUCCCUAUGAACUGUGGAACGGUAAGAAACCAAACAUUAGUUAUUUCCACCCUUUCAGAUGCAAAUAUUUCAUUCAUAACAAUGGAAAGUAUAAUUUGGGUAAGUUUGAUCGAAAGAGUGAUGAAGGUAUAUUUUUGGGUUACUCUCCCUCAAAUAGAGCUUACAGAGUUUACAACAAGAGAACCUUAUGUAUUGAAGAAUUUAUUCAUGUUAUUUUUGUUGAUACUAACCCUCGCCCAAAGAAUGAACAUAUCCUGAAGAUGAGGAAAUUUCUUGUGCUACAAAAUCUGUUCUUGUAGGUAAGGAUCAUCAAAAUGAGUCAACUAAUCUACAAAAUCAACCAGCUGAAAUUCCUCCAGAAGAAUGUGACUUACCUCAACCAGAUCAGUCGACUAUCGAAGAAAAUGUGACUUCAGCAAAUACUCCAAAUGAAUGGAAGAUUGAACCAGGAUAUCCUCAUAAGUUCAUUAUAGGAGAUCCACAGGAGGGAAUAACUACAAGGAGAUCUCAAAAGAACAAAUCUCAUGUAUCUCUCAUUUCUCAAAUUGAGCCCAAGAAAGUGGAUGAAGCUUUAAAGGAUUCUCAUUGGAUUGAUACUAUGAAAGAAGAAUUAGAUCAAUUUGAGUGAAACAAAGUCUGGAAACUUGUUCCAAAGCCUCAAAAUUCAUCUGUCAUUGGAACUAAGUGGGUUUUCAGAAAUAAAUUGAAUUAAUCAGGUCAAGUUGUUCGGAAUAAAACAAGACUGGUGGCUCAAGGUUACUCUCAAUAGGAAGGAAUCGACUAUGAUGAAACAUUUGCACCUGUAGCAAGAUUUGGAUCCAUCCGAAUUCUACUUGCUUUCGCUGCUCACAAAGGAUUGAAAUUAUUUCAAAUGGAUGUUAAAAGUACGUUCCUAAAUAUCUAUAUCUUUGAAGAAUUAUACGUGAACCAACCUCCUGGCUUUGCAAAUACCAAUUUUUCAAACCAUAUAUACAAGCUGACUAAAGCCCCGUAUGGUCUCAAACAAGCUCCACGAGCAUGAUAUGAAAGGUUGAGCUCUUUUCUUCUAAAUCAAGGUUUCAAACGAGGUAACAUCGAUACAACUCUUUUUAUUAAGCAAUCCAAUUCAGGUAAUCUUAUUACUCAAAUUUAUGUAGAUGACAUUAUCUUUGGUAGCCCUAACUUAGUUCUUUGUGAAGAAUUUGCACUUUCCAUGAAAGGUAAAUUUGAAAUGAGCAUGAUGGUAGAACUGACAUUCUUCCUUGGACUUCAAAUCAAGCAAUCCCCUAAAUGAAUUUUCAUAAGCCAAACCAAGUAUACCAAGGAGCUCAUUAAGAAAUUUGGGAUGGAAAAUGAUAAAGCUAUUAGCACUCCAAUGAGUCCAACUACCGUGCUAGAUGAAGACAGCAAUGGAAAAAUGGUUCAUGAAACCAUUUAUAGAGGGAUGAUUGAAUCUUUACUUUAUAUAACUACUAGUCGAUCAGAUAUUAUGUUUAGUAUUUGUAAUUGUGCUAGAUUUCAUUUGGCUCCUAAGGAAUCCCAUCUUACCGCUGUUAAACGCAUUAUUAGAUAUUUAAUUGGUACUCCUGAGUUCAGAUUAUGGUAUGAUCACUCUAACAAUUUCUCUCUGAGAGGCUUUUCAGAUGUUGAUUUUGCAGGAGACAAGAUUGAUAUGAAGAGUACCAGCGGGACAUGUCAAUUGCUAGGAAAUUAUUAGUAUCUUGGCAUAGCAAGAAAUAAAAUUGUGUUGUGCUAUCAACUACUGAGGCAGAAUACCUAGCUGUUGGAAGCUGUUGUACACAAGUCCUAUGGAUCAUGCACCAACUUCUUGAUUAUGAUUUUCUCUUACUUCUACUCCUAUUUUUUGUGACAAUACUAGUGCUAUCUACUUAUCUAAAAAUUCUGUGCAACAUUCUAGAGCAAAAUAUAUAGAAAUUAAAUAUUAUUUUAUUCGUGAUCAUGUAGCAAAAGGUGAUAUUACUUUAGAAUUCAUUAGUACUGAUUCUUAACUUGCUGAUAUUUUUACAAAACUGCUUUUGGAAGAAAGAUUCCGCACUUUUCAAAAAAGAUUGGCAUUGUGCCAAAUUUGUAAAUUAAAUAUUUCCUUAAGUAUUCAAAUUAUUUUACAUGCUUUCAGAAUAUUUUUUUCCUUAAUUAUAUGUGUUCUAAUUAAUUUUCUGUGUAAGUGCAAUUAUUACAUGUACCGCCGAUUAGUCACUUCUGAACCUACACUUUUGUCUGCACUUAACCCUUCCAGUAACCAAGAUGCCUCUUCACUCCUCUAAAUCUCAUCAAUAAAAACUCUCCAUCUCCAACACUUCUCUCAUUCACUACCAACCAACUCCUCUCACUAUGGCCAAAAGAAAUCCCUCCUCUACAACCAGACACAGUCGAAGGUUUCAAAAACCUCUCAACACUGAAGAACCUGUGGAUGUGGAGUCAUCCAUUGACUCAGAUUUUCUCAGAACUGACAACGAUAACAAUGCCUUAUCUAAAAAUUAUCCUAUCAGCCAGAAAAAGGAUGGCAAGAGGCCCAUGGAGCAAACCCCCAAAAAGGCUGUAUGCAAGAAGGGCAAGGUUUAAUAUUUGGAGUUUGGUCUUGAAGACAAGCUAAUCUUCUAUGGCCCUAGUGAAAAGGGUACACUCUGGGUAAUGAUGGAUGGUUUAAGAGAUCCAAGGUUGAAAGUGCUCCAACUCCUGUUGAUAGCCCGAUUGAUCAACCAGCUUCUCAGUCGACUACCUCCCUGAAUCUUCAACAAAUUCAACACUACCUUGAUAGAGUCAAGCUGCUGCUUAUGGAUAUGAAAGAACAGGCAGGUAGACAAGAUCAAGGAUGUCAUGAAGGAGACAGGUACAGAUGUGGACAAGCUUCAUAUUGACAUAGGAGCUACAAGGAGACAAGGAACCAAGGCUUCAAUUCCAUGAGUGAAAAGAUGGACAAACUCGUCAAGGAUGUUGAGAAUUCACAUGACUCCUUCUGCACCAAAGUGAUCAACACCCUCAAAUACUUUCUGGGACGAAGUUAAUUUCUCUGAUUGUGCUGUUAUGACAAAAAAUUUCUUUUUGCUUAUGUUUUUUGUUGGUAGUUGCUUUUAAACAAUUCUUUUUUUGGACUGUACUAUCUAAGCCUCUACUGAAGGCUCUAACCGCCUUAUCUUAUCAGUAUGUGAAUUAUGUUCUAUUUUUCUCUUUGUAUGUCUCUUUACUUUUUGAUUGAUGUCAAGGGGGAGAAAAAUGUGAGUAAACAACUUAGGAGGGAAUAUAGGAACAACAUAAUCUCAAGGGAAGCAUCAGCUCAGGGGGAGCAACUCCUUAAAAGGGAAGUAUUUUAAUUUACUUUACUUUGUUUACUUAUUCUUGAUUGUCAUCAUCAAAAAGGGGGAGAUUGAUAGGUUUAAGUUUAAGUUUAAAUGAUGACAAUGUUAUCUUAUGUUAUAUUUACAGGACAAACAAAAAGGAAAGAAUGAAGAUGCUUAGCAAGAUUGCUAUUGGAUUCAAAAUAGCAAGUAAGGAAAGAAUGAAGAUGCUAUUACUGCAUUGAUGAUCAAUCAAAAAAAGCAGAUUGACUCGUCCUCAAUUAAGGGAACUCAGAUUGCCAAUUAUGGAUCCUCUAAUUAAGAAGAUCGCGCUCGUGAAUUAAACUCUCCAAGCGUAAAUGUCUCAUUGAAUUCAGCUGUGACAAGGAAGGUCACAUUCGAAUAUGGGCUAGUCAAAGAGCAAUAUUUGAAGAAGCACCCUUUGGGUCAAAUCCCUUAAUUAAAGAUCUUAUGCAUCUGAUGUCGCAAAAGACUCAACGGCUCUUUUCUCUCCUAUAAGAAGGUUAAUCUCUCAAGAAGAAGAUUGCGCAACUACACAGUACACACAUUGUAUUCUAAGUCUAUCUACUUCUUAGUUCAAACACUAUACUCCUUAGUUAUCAAUGUCUCAAAAGAUAGGGAGAUCUAGAACACAAAAGAGAGUUGUGUCAACUAUUCUGAACUUAAGUGUUGAUACUGCUCGUUGGUGGUGAACGCGGUAAAACCUUUUGUAUUGUA